UUUAUUUUACCAAAUCUUUUUCUAAGAUGCAUUCUACAGAAUAAACACCAUGAAUUUAGGUUUGAGUCCAUGAAAAAAUAAAAAAUGACCACACACGAUACCAGCAUCACAUUUUUUGUAUUUUAUUUUGAUGCAUCAGUCCCUUAAAGGAUACUUACUCAAACAACUUGCACAAAAAUUUUGAUGUGACAUGGUUUAAGUAAAUGUUCGUACUCCAUUGUGUAUAUCCAGUUCUAAUUUCCCCAAAAUUGAUAAUAAUUUUUUUAGGAAAAAAUGGACGUCUGGCAAAUUUCGUCAUUGUUAAUGAUAUUUGCAAGGGGGUACACCUUUCUGAGAGGUGAUAACAAAAAAUCUAGCAUGUAAACAUACAGAUUUCUUAGGCAUGUAUUCCAUUUGCUAUAAUGCAUAUCUGUCUUUUAAGGUACCUCACUACACCUUGAAAUAGUUUCUCAAAUCAGCAGAAAUUUACUUGAUUAUGAUAGAAAGAAUGAUGGAUAAGAAUUAUAUAUAUCAAAGAGGCGAGAAAAUGUACAAUUUUAGAUAAAAAUGAUAUUUUCAAAAAUGUCAUUCAGUAAACAUGAACAAAAGCCCCAGGUGGAUUCGAACUCAUUACCUGCGGUUCACAAGCCUGAUACUUUAACCACUGAGCUAUGACGAUAUGCAUCUGAAUCGAUUGAUACAAACAGUUUAACAAAACAUUUAAAUCGCCAUCUUGUGAUGUAGUGUCUUAAAAAGUAUAAGUCUCGGUGUAGUGAAGUACCUUAAAGCUAAGCCUCCAAUGAUUGAGACCAUUUACAUGUACUGCCGAGUAUAGGACUACCUUAAGGACGAUCUGAUGGUUUAUUUGUUGACUGUACCCAGCCUCCUUAAUGAAAUUUUUCAAUUUUAAUUUGUUGUAAAUACUUGCUAUUACGUAUUUGCAACAUGGUAUCUGGCAUAAAGAAUGAUGUCAAGAUCAUUCAAUUCAGGUGAAUUUAUAUACUUAAGAAACAAUCUACUUAUGAAAUGCUUACAUUCUUUGGGGUCAUCGAGAUUUGCUGAUGCAUGAAGACAUCUUUUUUUUUUCAUUAUGUACCAGUAAAAUAGUUAAGUACUAUAUAGUACCACAAUGGUUUGAACUUUCAUCCUCAAGAGAAUGUGCAUGUAUUUGUGACCCUAUACCCACUUAUUGAUGAAAUUUUCUAGUCCUAUGUACAUUUUGUAUUGUGAUUUUAUCAACAAAAUGGAAAAAUCUUAAAUUUCCUUCAGCUUCAGACUACUUGGUUGUUUUUAGUGCAGUGUGUAUGAGUACAAUACAUACAUAAUUAUACAAAUUAAAGCAAGAACUGCAUUGUAUUUAAAUGCAUUGAAAGUGUAAUAUAAUUCUAAAUAUUUAGACAUCACCAUUUUUUAAAUGAAUCUGAAAAUGUUCUGUGUAUAGCGUGCAUAUCAUGUAUAUUUUUUGAAAUUUAUCAAUAUCUUCCCUUGAAUCUUGUAAGACUGUAUAAUAGUGAUGAGAUGUGUUGUAACUAAAUGUAAGAUAGUAUGUGCUUUUAGAUACAAACACAAUGUAUUUUUAUUCAUUAUUUAAGGGGCAAAUAAAAAGGAUGAAAGCAG
rnacentral:sRNA from 1 species